ensembl:snRNA U6 U6 spliceosomal RNA
UUGCUUUGGCAGCACAUAUACUAAAAUUGGAAUGAUACAGACAUUAGCAUGGCCUCUGCACAAAGAUGACACACAAAUUAGUGAACUGUUCCAUACUUUU